AUGAACGCUAGCUACAGGCUUAACACAUGCAAGUCGAGGGGCAGCAUGGUCUUAGCUUGCUAAGACUGAUGGCGACCGGCGCACGGGUGAGUAACACGUAUCCAACCUGCCGUCUACUCUUGGACAGCCUUCUGAAAGGAAGAUUAAUACAAGAUGGCAUCAUGAGUCCACAUGUUCACAUGAUUAAAGGUAUUCCGGUAGACGAUGGGGAUGCGUUCCAUUAGAUAGUAGGCGGGGUAACGGCCCACCUAGUCUUCGAUGGAUAGGGGUUCUGAGAGGAAGGUCCCCCACAUUGGAACUGAGACACGGUCCAAACUCCUACGGGAGGCAGCAGUGAGGAAUAUUGGUCAAUGGGCGAGAGCCUGAACCAGCCAAGUAGCGUGAAGGAUGACUGCCCUAUGGGUUGUAAACUUCUUUUAUAAAGGAAUAAAGUCGGGUAUGGAUACCCGUUUGCAUGUACUUUAUGAAUAAGGAUCGGCUAACUCCGUGCCAGCAGCCGCGGUAAUACGGAGGAUCCGAGCGUUAUCCGGAUUUAUUGGGUUUAAAGGGAGCGUAGAUGGAUGUUUAAGUCAGUUGUGAAAGUUUGCGGCUCAACCGUAAAAUUGCAGUUGAUACUGGAUAUCUUGAGUGCAGUUGAGGCAGGCGGAAUUCGUGGUGUAGCGGUGAAAUGCUUAGAUAUCACGAAGAACUCCGAUUGCGAAGGCAGCCUGCUAAGCUGCAACUGACAUUGAGGCUCGAAAGUGUGGGUAUCAAACAGGAUUAGAUACCCUGGUAGUCCACACGGUAAACGAUGAAUACUCGCUGUUUGCGAUAUACUGCAAGCGGCCGAGCGAAAGCGUUAAGUAUUCCACCUGGGGAGUACGCCGGCAACGGUGAAACUCAAAGGAAUUGACGGGGGCCCGCACAAGCGGAGGAACAUGUGGUUUAAUUCGAUGAUACGCGAGGAACCUUACCCGGGCUUAAAUUGCAGAUGAAUUACGGUGAAAGCCGUAAGCCGCAAGGCAUCUGUGAAGGUGCUGCAUGGUUGUCGUCAGCUCGUGCCGUGAGGUGUCGGCUUAAGUGCCAUAACGAGCGCAACCCUUGUUGUCAGUUACUAACAGGUCAUGCUGAGGACUCUGACAAGACUGCCAUCGUAAGAUGUGAGGAAGGUGGGGAUGACGUCAAAUCAGCACGGCCCUUACGUCCGGGGCUACACACGUGUUACAAUGGGGGGUACAGAGGGCCGCUACCACGCGAGUGGAUGCCAAUCCCAAAAACCUCUCUCAGUUCGGACUGGAGUCUGCAACCCGACUCCACGAAGCUGGAUUCGCUAGUAAUCGCGCAUCAGCCACGGCGCGGUGAAUACGUUCCCGGGCCUUGUACACACCGCCCGUCAAGCCAUGGGAGCCGGGGGUACCUGAAGUGCGUAACCGCGAGGAGCGCCCUAGGGUAAAACUGGUGACUGGGGCU
rnacentral:rRNA from 1 species